rnacentral:rRNA from 1 species
CCUACGGGUGGCAGCAGUGAGGAAUAUUGGUCAAUGGACGCAAGUCUGAACCAGCCAUGCCGCGUGCAGGAAGACGGCUCUAUGAGUUGUAAACUGCUUUUGUACGAGGGUAAACGCAGCUACGCGUAUCUGUUUGAAAGUAUCGUACGAAUAAGGAUCGGCUAACUCCGUGCCAGCAGCCGCGGUAAUACGGAGGAUUCUAGCGUUAUCCGGAUUUAUUGGGUUUAAAGGGUGCGUAGGCGGGCUGAUAAGUUAGAUGUGAAAUCCCGGGGGUCAACUUCGGAAUUGCCUUUGAUACUGGUCGGCUAGAGAGUAGUUGCGGUAGGCGGAAUGUGUGGUGUAGCGGUGAAAUGCUUAGAGAU